rnacentral:snoRNA from 1 species
GUAGCAUCUUAAACAGGUCUUGGCCUCAGUGCAGUAGGCCAGGAUUUGGUAGCUGGUGCUUACAGUAAGUAUCUCCCUGCGGUAUUUAUGCCACUGGCUCACACUGCCUGUUGGAACACUCAGGAGAAACAGAU